AUUGAACGCUGGCGGCAUGCCUUACACAUGCAAGUCGAACGGCAGCACGGGUGCUUGCACCUGGUGGCGAGUGGCGAACGGGUGAGUAAUACAUCGGAACGUACCUUAUCGUGGGGGAUAACGCAGCGAAAGCUGUGCUAAUACCGCAUACGCCCUGAGGGGGAAAGCGGGGGAUCGCAAGACCUCGCGCGAUUAGAGCGGCCGAUGCCUGAUUAGCUAGUUGGUGGGGUAAAAGCCCACCAAGGCGACGAUCAGUAGCUGGUCUGAGAGGACGGUCAGCCACACUGGGACUGAGACACGGCCCAGACUCCUACGGGAGGCAGCAGUGGGGAAUUUUGGACAAUGGGGGCAACCCUGAUCCAGCAAUGCCGCGUGAGUGAAGAGGGCCUUCGGGUUGUAAAGCUCUUUUGUCAGGGAAGAAACACCGGCUCUAACACAGUCCGGGAAUGACGGUACCUGAAGAAUAAGCACCGGCUAACUACGUGCCAGCAGCCGCGGUAA
rnacentral:rRNA from 1 species